AAGGGAGGCUAUAUAAGGAACUGCUGGAAGGCUCCAUCGGUCUUUUACAUCCGGAGUUGGGAGUUCUGCGUUGAUUUUGUGGGACAAUGGCUCAUAAUGCUAUGACGAAGCUGUGGCUUGGAGAUGCGAAGAUGCAAGAGAAAAUUAUAAGCCAUGUGGAAGGAUACUUACUGGAGAGACACUUGGUUAAAACUUGACAGUUUAUUAUCAGUGUCCUGCAGAUUGAUAAAUACUAAUGAAAUUGUAGGCGCUGACAACCAACUUUUUUGAAUGAGGAGGUCUCUGCCCUUUGAAAGGCCAAGCUGCUACUGUGGAAUCAGUGGCUAGUACCUCGAGAUAUGCUUGUCCUGUGAGGGAAAGCAUUACAUUUCACAAAUGUGGGAAGAAAAUGAACAGAUCAAGACAAGCUUUGUUUUUGUUUUUUUUUUGCUUUUUGGAAAUGAUGGUGAACUAGCAAUCUGCAUUUGGAUCAAUGUAUUCAGAGAUGCAGGCCACUCCUGUUUAAUAUCACAAUACCCAGACCCCUUUUGGUGUAACAUGUUUUAAAUGUAAAGUGUAAUUAAAGCUAAGUGGCAUGAGAUUCGGAAUACCCUGA